AGCGAACGCUGGCGGCAGGCUUAACACAUGCAAGUCGAGCGGGCACUUUCGGGUGUCAGCGGCGGACGGGUGAGUAACGCGUGGGAACGUGCCCUCUGGUUCGGAAUAACUCAGGGAAACUUGAGCUAAUACCGGAUACGCCCUUUUGGGGAAAGGCUUGCUGCCGGAGGAUCGGCCCGCGUCUGAUUAGCUAGUUGGUGAGGUAACGGCUCACCAAGGCGACGAUCAGUAGCUGGUCUGAGAGGAUGAUCAGCCACACUGGGACUGAGACACGGCCCAGACUCCUACGGGAGGCAGCAGUGGGGAAUAUUGGACAAUGGGCGCAAGCCUGAUCCAGCCAUGCCGCGUGAGUGAUGAAGGCCUUAGGGUUGUAAAGCUCUUUUAUCCGGGACGAUAACGACGGCACCGGAGGAAUAAGCCCCGGCUAACUUCGUG
rnacentral:rRNA from 1 species